GCACCUGAAUCUUCCCUGUUGCUCGCUGUGCAUUGCAGAUCUGGGGGCAGUUGGUGCUACAGCACAGCAGUGGAAAUCCAGAUGGGUUGUUCUCCACUGGUUUGGAACUCAUCCCUCCACCUCUGCAACAUCU
ensembl:snoRNA